AUCUUCUCUCCCUCGGGCGCUAGGGUUCUUGGCUUCUUCUUCUUGGUUGUGAGGUGAUAGGAGAUGUAUUGGAGGGGAGCAGGACGAGCAGGGAGGCGGAUCUAGAGGGAUGGGCUCCGACGAGGCAGAUCUGGAUGAGGCUGUGGUGGCAUCCGUGUAGAGGGUGGCCAUGGCGAUAGCUCCUUCCCGCCUUGGCUCACAGAUCGAGCUGAAGCAUCCACCAUGCACUCCUGAGAUGCUGGCGCUUGGUAGGUCGAUCAGCAGGAGCUACAGGUAGAGCUCUGCUUUUCUUCUCGGCAUUCUUCUCUUUUGUUUCGUAUGUAUAAUGAUUGUUGAAUUGUGGAAUUACCUUUUUUCUAUUCUAUUCGCUAGCUUUCAGAGGUGAAAAGUGGAUCUUAGAUAUUACCUUCUUUGUAUAAAGUAGUUGAAGUUAAAUCUUCAGUCUAUAUAUUUGUUGUUGUUUAUCCUUGCUUUGCAUAUUGCCUUAAUCUCCUAUAUAUAUUAUCAUGCCUUAUUCUACUUUUCAUGGCCACUAUUUCUGUUCCUACUAUUAAUUGAAGACAAAUAUCUAUUUCUUUGAAAUUAGCUGUAGUAGGUUUAUCUGAAUCAUUUGACGGUAAUGACAUGAUGUUCGCAUCGGACAUUCCAAUUCAAGCCUGUCCUAUGCUGGAACCUUGCUGAUGAUGAAUCAGAUCCUUAGUUAAUAAAGAUCAAUGUCGACUAGUUCUCUUAGAAAACGAAAUGGGAACUAGAUCCAGACCUUUCUCUUGGGAUAGUUUUUGUAUCUUUAAUCAAUUAAUAACUUAGUUUUGCUAGAGGAGAUAAUUCUAAUGCGUCCAUCUUUUGAGGAUGAUAAACUAUAUUCAGUGCCAAGUUUCUGAGAUAGAGCUUUUUCUCAUGGAAUAAUGCGAUUUUAGUUUGGAAGCACAAUCACUUUCCAGUUCGUGAACAUAAUUGAACCUGAUCUCGAAGGAUCAAUUAUGCAUCUGACUGCAUAUUAGCAAAAGAAAACAUGCAAUUUGAGCAAAAGGUAUCCAUGCUGAAUUGACAUUUUGAGUGCAUAGUUUUUGUAUUAUCUUGAAGUCCAAAUAAUAAAUGUUUGUUUCCCAAUCAGGAAAACCGCUGCACUCUUUCGUCUUUUAACAUCAGUUUAGAAGGAUGAAUUAUUUACUAGUUACCUGUUAUGCACAUGUGUUAAGCUUUUUACUGAGCUCUUGAUGUUCUCUGCAGCUGAUAUAGGAAAUUUACUUUUAUCUCCUCUCCACCUUUUGUGACUAUAUGGCAUUAGCGGCUAUCUAUAGCCUUUUCAUCAUUAACAAGUCUGGUGGCUCUUGCUAUCCUGUGAGUAAAAUGUGUAAUACAACACUUCAGUCCAUCAUUACUGGUUUCUUAGAGACCUCAGUGAGAAUGAACUGGUAUGGCCGAUUCCUACUAUACUUGGCAACCUAUCAUACACUGGCAAACUGUUAGUAUCAUCAACUAUACUUUUCUUUCCCAAACCAUCUACCUUUUCUUUUAUUAAUGGUUUGUACAACCAUUCCUUUUCAGUUAUAUACAUGGCAACAAACUUACUGGACACAUACCACCAUAACUGGGGAACAUGAGUAAACUUAGCUACUUGCAGCUGAAUGAUAAUGAACUAGAAGGAACCAUUCCAGCAGAGCUUGGCAAGCUCAAGCUCACAAAAUUAUUUGAAUUAUAAUCAGGACCAUGACCAGUGGCGGGUUGGCUUGAACUCAGCUAUGUUCAGAAGGGUGUCCAUCCAUGUGUUCGGGAGCUGGGAUGCAGUAUCUGUGUUCUGUAGCAAACUUGUUCCUGGAUAAUGUCAUGUAGUGUAUGAAUCUUGCUUUUGCUUUCUGUUGACUGGAGAAUCGAAGAGUUUAAAUGGGUGCUUUUUUUGUGAAAAUGGAAUCAAGCACAGCUGAAAGGUUAAAGAGACUAGUAUAUGAUAAUUUGUUUCCUGUGCU